UCAGCUCACAGAAAAGGACUACAAUGGAAUCUAGGUUCACUUACAAAGAUUCAUCUUUCUCGAUUUGGUGGCGUGUCUAAUCAAUCUGAUGUAUAUUUUUGUCUGAUGUGAGUUUCUUGAUCACUCUUACCCAUAUGCACAAUUGUUGCUCAUCGACUUAACUAAGUCUUUGGUGUUGUGAGGUCACUGAGACAUUGUUUUGGUUUGUAAUCUGAAGAUCAAGCAAGUUUCUGCGACGCGACUAUACCUUGGUCAAGAAUUUCUAGAAAACAUCAUUUUUUGCUGGACUUAACACUAGUGCCCAACUCCGGAGACCUCUCUUUUGAUUGUGCUGUAAGACCAAAGCCAUUGAUGAGGACUUUACAUUGUAAUGCGCUAACACCAUCAUGGAGAACAAUUAUCUGUUUUCUCAUGUGAUUUUCUUUUGAUAUUAACUAGGGCUAAAUCAUCUGGCUUGAUGUGGGAUUGGUAAUGCUCCCAAGCAACUUCAAAGGCUCAUGAGAUGUGCAGAAACUCGGAACAGCUUAUGUUUCCCUCUCAUGUGCCUGUUGUAGUUCCCCGGAAGCAAUGUCAUAUUAAGGCCUUCAAACUUCGGCAGUUGAGCAGUGUCCCCAAGAAAUAUGGUUCACGUGAAAUGCAAGAUAGUGCUGCAAUCUACAAGCCAGGAUUUCUUCACCCAGGACAGGAAAGGACCAGAUCAACAAUUGUAAUUGGACAGACAGCAGCGGGGCAGGCCUUCGAACCUGGUUGGAGUUUUUUCUUCUUGGGUACUUAGAAGAGGAAGUGUAUUUCAAACCAUCCUUCUCUCUACAGUUUGAUGCGCUAUACCACUCAGGUCUUGCGGCUUACUGUUCUCAAGUUCCACAUUUUCUUGUGUUGAUCGCAGGCUUUCCGUUCGCUAAGCUUUUCUCAGCACUCAACUUUCAACCAUACUCCUUACAACACAAAAAACCGCUGCAAACAAGACCCAUACCACAUAGUUCGACGCCGAGUUCAGUACGUAGAGUCUGCCUUCUAUAAGGUGCAGCAAUGACAUGGAUCAUUCACCGGAGAAAUAAUGAACUUCUCGCUGUCAUCUACAGUUCGUAGUGGUCACUUCCAUUACGACUAUUAGGUUCUGCUCAUUCAGAAAAGUUAGAAGAAGAGAUCAGGAUUCAAGACUCCACCUUGCUUGGAGGAGAUUGGGUUCAAUUGGAUCCAUAUUCUUCAAAAUACGGUCCUGCAGUUUCACCAAAGCCUGAAGAUUCAAAAUUUCAGUAACUUAUGGGCUCGAUAGUAAGUAGCUGACAUCAAUCGGACAGAUCCAAUCAUGCACUCGGCUGCAAAAAUAGACAUCGUUAUAGGAUUUCAUGGCUCUAAAAUCACGUCUAAAGCGUCCAGCUGCAUUGACGGCACAUCUGAACCAAAAAAUUACAACCAUAAAAAUAAUAAAGCUCGCAACAUGCCAAUUCGUUCCAUUACUGCA